AUUUAGAGAAGUUUAGCUUUAGAUACUUUUAUUUGUCUUCGCUCGUAGCGACUAGCGUGACCGUCAAGACAUCUUAUCGGAACCCUCAUCUUGAAAAUCCUUCGUGGAUAGGUCGAUCGCAUCGUUGGCUUGGUCGAUAAGCCGUGGAGUUGGUUCAACGAUUGCCGUGGAUAUCAGUCGUGUAUGGUUCUCCCCGUACAGUUGGUAGCCGGAUCAUGAGGGUCAAGUCCCACCUAAAAUCGUAGUUAUAUCUCUCUCUCAUCGAAAGAUCGGGCCCCAGUUCUCAUCACUUAGGCAGUAUAAAAUUCUCAUCACCACAAAUGUCAGAUUCAACUAAGAGUGAAUUCACCUUUUGUUCUA